rnacentral:rRNA from 1 species
UACGAAGGGGGCGAGCGUUGUUCGGAUUUACUGGGCGUAAAGGGCGCGCAGGCGGCUCAUUUUGUCAGGCGUGAAAGCCCCGGGCUUAACCUGGGAACUGCGUUUGAUACGGAUGGGCUAGAGUUCGGGAGAGGAGAGUGGAAUUCCCAGUGUAGAGGUGAAAUUCGUAGAUAUUGGGAAGAACACCGGUGGCGAAGACGGCUCUCUGGACCGAGACUGACGCUGAGGCGCGAAAGCGUGGGGAGCAAACAGG